UACGGAGGGUGCAAGCGUUGUCCGGAAUCACUGGGCGUAAAGGGCGCGUAGGCGGCUCGGUAAGUAGGGGGUGAAAUCCUGCGGCUUAACCGCAGGGCUGCCUUCUAAACUGUCAGGCUGGAGCACAGUAGAGGCAGGUGGAAUUCCCGGUGUAGCGGUGGAAUGCGUAGAGAUCGGGAAGAACAUCAGUGGCGAAGGCGGCCUGCUGGGCUGUUGCUGACGCUGAGGCGCGACAGCGUGGGGAGCAAACAGG
rnacentral:rRNA from 1 species